rnacentral:rRNA from 1 species
GACAGAGGGUGCAAACGUUGUUCGGAUUUACUGGGCGUAAAGCGCGUGUAGGCGGCUUUGCAAGUCGGAUGUGAAAUCCCACGGCUCAACCGUGGAAGUGCAUCCGAAACUGCAUCGCUGGAGUCUCGGAGAGGAAGGUGGAAUGCUUGGUGUAGAGGUGAAAUUCGUAGAUAUCAAGCGGAACACCGGUGGCGAAGGCGGCCUUCUGGACAGUGACUGACGCUGAGACGCGAAAGCGUGGGGAGCAAACAGG